rnacentral:rRNA from 1 species
UACAGAGGUCCCAAGCGUUGUUCGGAUUCACUGGGCGUAAAGGGUGCGUAGGCGGUCGGGGAAGUCUGGCGUGAAAUCUCCAAGCCUAACUUGGAAACUGCGUUGGAUACUAUCCGGCUCGAGGAAUGGAGGGGAGACUGGAAUACUUGGUGUAGCAGUGAAAUGCGUAGAUAUCAAGUGGAACACCAGUGGCGAAGGCGAGUCUCUGGACAUUUCCUGACGCUGAGGCACGAAAGCCAGGGGAGCAAACGGG